GUAGAUACAGGCGAAUCGAGUUGAACCCAGUCCCUGUCCCACAGGGGGUUCACAGUCUUAAUCCCCAUUGUACGGAUGAGAUGACUGAGGCACGGAGCAGUGAAGUGACUUGGACAAGGUCACGUAGAUAAGUGGCGGGGCUGGGAUUAGAACCCGUGACCUCUUGACUCCCGGAACUGUCGUAAUCCACUAGACCGUGCUAUUUGUACAUACCGAGUUGACUCGGAGGUCACCUAUUUGAGGCUGGCAUUGUCCCAUUUCUUUUUAACGGUACCUGCAGGAAAGGAGGAGAGGAGGAGUGGAAUCGAGUGUCCACAGGACGCAAAGAUGCCGGGCUUUUAGAUCAGGUAAAUUGGUCUCCAGUCGAUGGUCCGUUCCUGACCUUGAGCUCCAGAGGUUGAGGGUGGACUCCGCAGCCGUCCUGCCUGGUCCCGAGGGGCCCGGCGAGCUCUCCGACCACCUUCCUAUUUGUGCGUGCGGUCAUGUCGGCGACAAUCACAGAAAACACCCCUACUUUCAUCUUGGUAAAUCACCCCCCCACCCCCGCAUCUGUGUCUGCUCAUCUAUGCUCGUUGCUCGGGUACGCUAAUUCCGUAUUAGCGACGAAGAGGGUUUGACUGAAGUUUUUCUUAGCAAAACUGGGGUCCUAGAGGACGUGGCUUACAGUCUCGGCUUAGAAGAAAGGCUCAAUGAAAGGAGAGAAGAGGCGUGAGGCGAAGGGAUCAGAGACUAGUCGGGGGUAGCAGAUCUCAUGAGAUUUCAGGGGGCCAAAAAGGCCACGUUGCUUUGUAAGGCCUAACGUUAGUGAGAUCUGACAUUUAUACCCAGCUUAGCUGGUAUAUACUCUUAUAUUUUAGGGCUCACCUCCUCCAGGAGGCCUUCCCAGAGUGAGCCCCCCUUCCCCUCCCCCCAGCACUUCUGCCUAUUUGUACGUAUUUAUUACUCUAUUUUAGAGAAGCAGCGUGGCUCAGUGGAAAGAGCCCGGGCUUGGAAGUCAGAGGUCAUGGGUUCGAAUCCCAGCUCUGCCACUUGUCAGCUGUGUGACUGUGAGCAAGUUACGUAACUUCUCUGUGCUUCAGUGAACACGUCUGUAAAAUGGGGAUUAACUGUGAGCCUCACGUGGGACAACCUGAUUACCCUGUGUCUCCCCCAGCGCUUAGAACAGUGCUGUGCACAUAGUAAGCGCUUAACAAAUACCAACAUUAUUAUUAUUAUUAUUUUUAAUGAUGUGUAUAGAUCUAUGAUUCUAUUUACUAUUUUGAUGGCAUUGACGGCCGUCUACUUGUUUCGUGUCGUUGUGUUGUCCGUCUCCCCCUUCUAGACGGCGAGCCCGUCGUUGGGUAGGGGUUGUCUCUGCCUGCUGUCGAAUUGACCUUUUCC
rnacentral:lncRNA from 1 species